rnacentral:rRNA from 1 species
GGUUAAGCGACUAAGCGUACACGGUGGAUGCCCUGGCAGUCAGAGGCGAUGAAGGACGUGCUAAUCUGCGAUAAGCGUCGGUAAGGUGAUAUGAACCGUUAUAACCGGCGAUUUCCGAAUGGGGAAACCCAGUGUGUUUCGACACACUAUCAUUAACUGAAUCCAUAGGUUAAUGAGGCGAACCGGGGGAACUGAAACAUCUAAGUACCCCGAGGAAAAGAAAUCAACCGAGAUUCCCCCAGUAGCGGCGAGCGAACGGGGAGCAGCCCAGAGCCUGAAUCAGUGUGUGUGUUAGUGGAAGCGUCUGGAAAGGCGCGCGAUACAGGGUGACAGCCCCGUACACAAAAAUGCACAUGCUGUGAGCUCGAUGAGUAGGGCGGGACACGUGGUAUCCUGUCUGAAUAUGGGGGGACCAUCCUCCAAGGCUAAAUACUCCUGACUGACCGAUAGUGAACCAGUACCGUGAGGGAAAGGCGAAAAGAACCCCGGCGAGGGGAGUGAAAAAGAACCUGAAACCGUGUACGUACAAGCAGUGGGAGCACGCUUAGGCGUGUGACUGCGUACCUUUUGUAUAAUGGGUCAGCGACUUAUAUUCUGUAGCAAGGUUAACCGAAUAGGGGAGCCGAAGGGAAACCGAGUCUUAACUGGGCGUUAAGUUGCAGGGUAUAGACCCGAAACCCGGUGAUCUAGCCAUGGGCAGGUUGAAGGUUGGGUAACACUAACUGGAGGACCGAACCGACUAAUGUUGAAAAAUUAGCGGAUGACUUGUGGCUGGGGGUGAAAGGCCAAUCAAACCGGGAGAUAGCUGGUUCUCCCCGAAAGCUAUUUAGGUAGCGCCUCGUGAACUCAUCUCCGGGGGUAGAGCACUGUUUCGGCAAGGGGGUCAUCCCGACUUACCAACCCGAUGCAAACUGCGAAUACCGGAGAAUGUUAUCACGGGAGACACACGGCGGGUGCUAACGUCCGUCGUGAAGAGGGAAACAACCCAGACCGCCAGCUAAGGUCCCAAAGUCAUGGUUAAGUGGGAAACGAUGUGGGAAGGCCCAGACAGCCAGGAUGUUGGCUUAGAAGCAGCCAUCAUUUAAAGAAAGCGUAAUAGCUCACUGGUCGAGUCGGCCUGCGCGGAAGAUGUAACGGGGCUAAACCAUGCACCGAAGCUGCGGCAGCGACACUAUGUGUUGUUGGGUAGGGGAGCGUUCUGUAAGCCUGUGAAGGUGUACUGUGAGGUAUGCUGGAGGUAUCAGAAGUGCGAAUGCUGACAUAAGUAACGAUAAAGCGGGUGAAAAGCCCGCUCGCCGGAAGACCAAGGGUUCCUGUCCAACGUUAAUCGGGGCAGGGUGAGUCGACCCCUAAGGCGAGGCCGAAAGGCGUAGUCGAUGGGAAACAGGUUAAUAUUCCUGUACUUGGUGUUACUGCGAAGGGGGGACGGAGAAGGCUAUGUUGGCCGGGCGACGGUUGUCCCGGUUUAAGCGUGUAGGCUGGUUUUCCAGGCAAAUCCGGAAAAUCAAGGCUGAGGCGUGAUGACGAGGCACUACGGUGCUGAAGCAACAAAUGCCCUGCUUCCAGGAAAAGCCUCUAAGCAUCAGGUAACAUCAAAUCGUACCCCAAACCGACACAGGUGGUCAGGUAGAGAAUACCAAGGCGCUUGAGAGAACUCGGGUGAAGGAACUAGGCAAAAUGGUGCCGUAACUUCGGGAGAAGGCACGCUGAUAUGUAGGUGAAGCGACUUGCUCGUGGAGCUGAAAUCAGUCGAAGAUACCAGCUGGCUGCAACUGUUUAUUAAAAACACAGCACUGUGCAAACACGAAAGUGGACGUAUACGGUGUGACGCCUGCCCGGUGCCGGAAGGUUAAUUGAUGGGGUUAGCGCAAGCGAAGCUCUUGAUCGAAGCCCCGGUAAACGGCGGCCGUAACUAUAACGGUCCUAAGGUAGCGAAAUUCCUUGUCGGGUAAGUUCCGACCUGCACGAAUGGCGUAAUGAUGGCCAGGCUGUCUCCACCCGAGACUCAGUGAAAUUGAACUCGCUGUGAAGAUGCAGUGUACCCGCGGCAAGACGGAAAGACCCCGUGAACCUUUACUAUAGCUUGACACUGAACAUUGAGCCUUGAUGUGUAGGAUAGGUGGGAGGCUUUGAAGUGUGGACGCCAGUCUGCAUGGAGCCGACCUUGAAAUACCACCCUUUAAUGUUUGAUGUUCUAACGUUGACCCGUAAUCCGGGUUGCGGACAGUGUCUGGUGGGUAGUUUGACUGGGGCGGUCUCCUCCUAAAGAGUAACGGAGGAGCACGAAGGUUGGCUAAUCCUGGUCGGACAUCAGGAGGUUAGUGCAAUGGCAUAAGCCAGCUUGACUGCGAGCGUGACGGCGCGAGCAGGUGCGAAAGCAGGUCAUAGUGAUCCGGUGGUUCUGAAUGGAAGGGCCAUCGCUCAACGGAUAAAAGGUACUCCGGGGAUAACAGGCUGAUACCGCCCAAGAGUUCAUAUCGACGGCGGUGUUUGGCACCUCGAUGUCGGCUCAUCACAUCCUGGGGCUGAAGUAGGUCCCAAGGGUAUGGCUGUUCGCCAUUUAAAGUGGUACGCGAGCUGGGUUUAGAACGUCGUGAGACAGUUCGGUCCCUAUCUGCCGUGGGCGCUGGAGAACUGAGGGGGGCUGCUCCUAGUACGAGAGGACCGGAGUGGACGCAUCACUGGUGUUCGGGUUGUCAUGCCAAUGGCACUGCCCGGUAGCUAAAUGCGGAAGAGAUAAGUGCUGAAAGCAUCUAAGCACGAAACUUGCCCCGAGAUGAGUUCUCCCUGACUCCUUGAGAGUCCUGAAGGAACGUUGAAGACGACGACGUUGAUAGGCCGGGUGUGUAAGCGCAGCGAUGCGUUGAGCUAACCGGUACUAAUGAACCGUGAGGCUUAACCUU